GCGUGUAACUCAGUUGGCAGAGUGUAACCUUAGCAUGGUUAAAGUCAGGAGUUCGAAUCUUCUCUCGUCC
rnacentral:ncRNA from 9 species